CCUACGGGUGGCAGCAGUGGGGAAUAUUGGGCAAUGGACGCAAGUCUGACCCAGCAACGCCGCGUGAAGGAAGAAGGCUUUCGGGUUGUAAACUUCUUUUAAGGGGGAAGAGCAGAAGACGGUACACCUUGAAUAAGCCACGGCUAACUACGUGCAAGCAGCCGCGGUAAUACGUAGGUGGCAAGCGUUGUACGGAUUUACUGGGUGUAAGGGGGGCGCGGACGGCGAUGCAAGCCAGGAGUGAAAGCCCGGGGCCCAACCCCGGGACUGCUCUUGGAACUGCGUGGCUGGAGUGCAGGAGGGGCAGUCGGAAUUCCUGGUGUAGGGGUGAAAUGCGUAGAUAUUAGGAGGAACACCGGUGGCGAAGGCGGCCUGCUGGACUGCAACGGACGUUGAGGCCCGAAAGCGUGGGGAGCAAACAGGAUUAGAUACCCUAGUAGUC
rnacentral:rRNA from 1 species